GCCAGGGGAGCAUGGGUGGUUCAUGCACUCGACUUGUAAUCGAGACUCCCGGGGUUCAAAUCCCUGCCCUGGCU
rnacentral:tRNA from 1 species